rnacentral:rRNA from 1 species
CAGGACGAACGCUGGCGGCGUGCCUAACACAUGCAAGUCGAGCGGGGACAUGGAAGUAGCAAUACGGAAAUGUCUAGCGGCGGACGGGUGAGUAACGCGUGAGCAACCUGUCCCAGUCAGGGGGAUAACGAGCCGAAAGGCUCCCUAAUACCGCAUGAGACCACAGCAUCACAUGGUGCAGGGGUCAAAGGAGAGAUCCGGACUGGGGUGGGCUCGCGUCUGAUUAGCUAGUUGGUGAGGUAAAGGCCCACCAAGGCGACGAUCAGUAGCCGACCUGAGAGGGUGAUCGGCCACAUUGGAACUGAGACACGGUCCAAACUCCUACGGGAGGCAGCAGUGGGGAAUAUUGGGCAAUGGGGGAAACCCUGACCCAGCAACGCCGCGUGAAGGAAGAAGGUCUUCGGAUCGUAAACUUCUAUCCUUGGUGAAGAUAAUGACGGUAGCCGAGAAGGAAGCCCCGGCUAACUACGUGCCAGCAGCGGC